rnacentral:rRNA from 1 species
GAUGAACGCUGGCGGCGUGCCUAAUACAUGCAAGUCGAGCGAACAGAUGAGGAGCUUGCUCCUCUGACGUUAGCGGCGGACGGGUGAGUAACACGUGGAUAACCUACCUAUAAGACUGGGAUAACUUCGGGAAACCGGAGCUAAUACCGGAUAAUAUAUUGAACCGCAUGGUUCAAUAGUGAAAGACGGUUUUGCUGUCACUUAUAGAUGGAUCCGCGCCGCAUUAGCUAGUUGGUAAGGUAACGGCUUACCAAGGCAACGAUGCGUAGCCGACCUGAGAGAGUGAUCGGCCACACUGGAGCUGAGACACGGUCCAGACUCCUACGGGAGGCAGCAGUAGGGAAUCUUCCGCAAUGGGCGAAAGCCUGACGGAGCAACGCCGCGUGAGUGAUGAAGGUCUUCGGAUCGUAAAACUCUGUUAUUAGGGAAGAACAAAUGUGUAAGUAACUAUGCACGUCUUGACGGUACCUAAUCAGAAAGCCACGGCUAACUACGUG